AUACAUGCAAGUCGAACGGUCUUUAGCAAUAGAGAUAGUGGCGCACGGGUGCGUAACGCGUAACCAACCUACCCGAAUCUGGGGGAUAGCCCGCCGAAAGGCGGAUUAAUACCGCAUAAAACUGCAGAGCGGCAUCGUUUAACAGUUAAAGAUUUAUUGGAUUCGGAUGGGGUUGCGUGCCAUUAGCUAGUUGGUGAGGUAACGGCCCACCAAGGCUACGAUGGCUAGGGGAGCUGAGAGGCUGGUCCCCCACACGGGCACUGAGAUACGGGCCCGACUCCUACGGGAGGCAGCAGUAGGGAAUAUUGGGCAAUGGAGGAGACUCUGACCCAGCCAUGCCGCGUGCCGGAUGAAGGCCUUCUGGGUCGUAAACGGCUUUUUUCCGGGAAGAACCGGUUCUGUGCGCAGGGCUUUGACGGUACCGGGAGAAUAAGCACCGGCUAACUCCGUGCCAGCAGCCGCGGUAAUACGGAGGGUGCGAGCGUUGUCCGGAUUUAUUGGGUUUAAAGGGUGCGUAGGCGGCCGCGUAAGUCUGGGGUGAAAGCCCGUUGCUCAACAACGGAACUGCCCUGGAAACUGUGUGGCUUGAGUCCAGACGAGGUUGGCGGAAUGGGCGGUGUAGCGGUGAAAUGCAUAGAUACCGUCCAGAACCCCGAUUGCGAAGGCAGCUGACUAGGCUGGUACUGACGCUGAGGCACGAAAGCGUGGGGAGCGAACAGGAUUAGAUACCCUGGUAGUCCACGCCGUAAACGAUGGAUACUCGCUGCCAGCGAUAGAUAGUUGGUGGCUUAGCGAAAGCGUUAAGUAUCCCACCUGGGGAGUACGCCCGCAAGGGUGAACUCAGGGA
rnacentral:rRNA from 1 species